ensembl:lncRNA
UUUACCAUAAAUACGAAACACAUAUGUAACAAUACACAUGUAUGACAUUUGCAGGUGAUGAAUAAUUAGAAAAGGUUGUUAAAAGGAAAUUUACCUUUUUCUGGUUUCACCAACUGAAGAUGUGUUGGUCCACACUCUGGCUUGUAAAGCAGAACUUUCUCUUCAUUAACCCCUCUGAGCCAACACUUCCUGAACUCUUGCCACAUGAACAACCAGGGUCACCACCUCAACGUCUGUGCACAGGAUGUGUCUGUGUAAACACACCGCCAACCACUCCUUCCUCUAACGCUGAACAGCCUGCAAAAAACAAGCCUCCCACAGAUACCACUACAACCAAGACUUGGAGAGGUGUGCCCCCUUCAGCAGCUGUUCCCUUCCACCCGGCUUAG